rnacentral:rRNA from 1 species
UACGUAGGGUGCGAGCGUUGUCCGGAAUUACUGGGCGUAAAGAGCUCGUAGGUGGUUUGUCGCGUUUGUCCGUGAAAACUCACAACUCAAUUGUGGGCGUGCGGGCGAUACGGGCAGACUGGAGUACUGCAGGGGAGACUGGAAUUCCUGGUGUAGCGGUGGAAUGCGCAGAUAUCAGGAGGAACACCGGUGGCGAAGGCGGUUCUCUGGGCCUGUACUGACGCUGGAGGAGCGAAAGCGUGGGGAGCGAACAGG